GGGUGGCUUUUGGCUUUUGGCGAUGUGGUCCUGUCAAAUAAUUGGGGUGGUAGAUGGUAGAUGCUGAAUCUGCAGAGACUUCCGGUGAUGCCAAACAUCGCAUCCUUUUCACGGGGAAGGGUUAGGAAACUGUGCCUUUAGGUUCUGGUCAUUGUCUUCAUGGGAAAUAUGCAUUUGCCAAGUGAAGCUGAGGAUGAGAAUAGAGAUCACCAUCAUCACCACAUACAAAACAGGUUGAGGAAAUUGAUUGAACGAAAGGACUUGAAUAUAUGGAAUUGAAAGGAGAAAAGAUUCUAACCCUGGAUGCAGUUAAGUGUCUUGUUGUACAUU
rnacentral:lncRNA from 1 species